UUGUACACACCGCCCGUCACGUCACGAAAGUCGGUAACACCCGAAGCCGGUGGCCCACCCCGUAAGGGAGGGAGCUGUCGAAGGUGGGACUGGCGAUUGGGACGAAGUCGUAACAAGGUAGCCGUACCGGAAGGUACGGCUGGAUCACCUCCUUUCUAAGGGGCACAGUACCGAUUGCAGGCAAAUGUUCUGCACGGUCAGCUCAUGGGUGGAACGUUGAUUAUUUGGCACGGUUUCCUGGAUGGAUCACGAGUACUGCUUCGGCGUGGAAAGUGACUCACUGAUGGGGGAUCGUGCCUGGCACGUUGUUGGGUGUCUGAGGGUACGGCCGUAAAGGUUGUGUCUUCGCGCCGGCCCCAGUGAACUCGUCAGCUUGUCUGGCGGGGUGAUGGGUGGCUGGUCGUUGUUUGAGAACUACACAGUGGACGCGAGCAUCUGUGGCCAAGUUUUUAAGGGCGCACGGUGGAUGCCUUGGCACCAGGAACCGAUGAAGGACGUGAGAGGCCGCGAUAGGCCCCGGGGAGCUGCCAACUGAGCUUUGAUCCGGGGGUGUCCGAAUGGGGAAACCCGGCAGUCGUCAUGGGCUGUCACCCACUGCUGAACACAUAGGCAGUGUGGAGGGAACGCGGGGAAGUGAAACAUCUCAGUACCCGCAGGAAGAGAAAACAACCGUGAUUCCGGGAGUAGUGGCGAGCGAAACCGGAUGAGGCCAAACCGUAUGCGUGUGAUACCCGGCAGGGGUUGCGCAUGCGGGGUUGUGGGAAUUCUUUUGACCGGUCUGCCGGCCCGGUCGGCGAGUCAGAAACCGUUGAUGUAGUCGAAGGACAUGCGAAAGGUCCGGCGUAGAGGGUAAGACCCCCCGUAGACGAAACAUCAGCGGCUUGCUUAAGAAUCUCCCAAGUAGCACGGGGGUCCCGAGAAAUCCCGUGUGAAUUCUGGGCGGGACCACCCCGGCUAAAGCCUUAAAAUAUUU
rnacentral:sRNA from 1 species